ACACAUUUUAGAGCCUAAUUCACAUUAAUUAAAAAUUAAAAUUACAUUCAAAUCCAAAUUUAAAGUUUUAAUGCUAAAACUUAUCCUAAAAUAACUUUAAUGUAAUCCAUCUCUACUUUAAUAAGCUGCACCUUGAUCUGAUUUUCAAUAUAGUUUUAUAUUAAAAUUAUAUAUUUCAAAAAAUAAUUAACAACGACGAUAUACAAGCAAAAUUAAAGUUUUAUUAAUCGUGGAUUAUCGAUUACAGGACAGAUUCCCCUGAUUGGAAUAAAAAACCGCCAAAUUUUUUGAUUUUAAAGAACAUAACUUACAUUCAUCUGGUAUAAUUUUCCACACCUAGAAUAAUGGGGUAUCUAAUCCCAGUUUAUAGCCUAGGCUUCUUAACUUCAUAAUCAUAAAUAAAACUAAACAAAAAAUAAGAUUUCACCCAACAUUUUAUUGAUAUAGUAAAUUAACUCUAUUAACUAAAUAUAAUAACCGAAAAAAAAAUAAUAGCUUUUUUUGUAUAACCGCA
rnacentral:rRNA from 1 species